AAAUUUUCAACCAAUAUGUGGCCAUUAUACUAUCAGUAACUUUUGUUUUGGCAUUUGGAGAGGUUAUUCCUCAAGCCAUAUGCACCAGAUAUGGACUUGCCGUAGGUGCAAGCCUUGUCUGGCUUGUUCGUGUUCUGAUGGUUAUAUGCUACCCAAUUGCUUACCCUAUAGGAAAGAUCCUGGACUGUGUGUUGGGACACAACGAAGUACUAUUCAGGCGUGCUCAGCUGAAAGCCCUUGUUUCUAUUCACAGCCAAGAGGCCGGCAAGGGAGGUGAACUUACACAUGAUGAGACAACAAUCAUU
rnacentral:misc_RNA from 1 species